rnacentral:rRNA from 1 species
GUCCACGCCGUAACGAUGGAUACUAGCUGUUGGGAGCAAUCUCAGUGGCUAAGCGAAAGUGAUAAGUAUCCCACCUGGGGAGGUACGUUCGCAAGAAUGAAACUACAAAGGAAAGUUGUACGGGGCCCGGGGCCCCGACAACGAACGGUCGGGUAGGACGACUAGUUGGGUUUUAAGGUUUUUAACGUUACGUAGUAGUAACGUACCGGACGGGAAACCGGUUAAACCCCUUAAACCGGAACGGUUAAACUUUAAAGUUAGGUUU